GUGCCAGCCGCCGCGGUAAUACAGAGGUCCCAAGCGUUGUUCGGAUUCACUGGGCGUAAAGGGUGCGUAGGUGGUCGGGUAAGUCUGAUGUGAAAUCUCGGAGCUUAACUCCGAAACUGCAUUGGAUACUAUCCGGCUUGAGGAUCGGAGGGGGGACUGGAAUUCUCGGUGUAGCAGUGAAAUGCGUAGAUAUCGAGAGGAACACCAGUGGCGAAGGCGAGUCCCUAGACGACUCCUGACACUGAGGCACGAAAGCUAGGGGAGCAAACAGGAUUAGAUACCCUGGUAGUCCUAGCUGUAAACGGUGCAUAUUUGCUGUAAAAGGAAUCGACCCCUUUUGUGGCGGAGCUAACGCGUUAAAUAUGCCGCCUGGGAAGUACGGUCGCAAGAUUAAA
rnacentral:rRNA from 1 species